AUUGAACGCUGGCGGCAGGCCUAACACAUGCAAGUCGAGCGGAUGAAGAGAGCUUGCUCUCUGAUUCAGCGGCGGACGGGUGAGUAAUGCCUAGGAAUCUGCCUGGUAGUGGGGGACAACGUCUCGAAAGGGACGCUAAUACCGCAUACGUCCUACGGGAGAAAGCAGGGGACCUUCGGGCCUUGCGCUAUCAGAUGAGCCUAGGUCGGAUUAGCUAGUUGGUGAGGUAAUGGCUCACCAAGGCGACGAUCCGUAACUGGUCUGAGAGGAUGAUCAGUCACACUGGAACUGAGACACGGUCCAGACUCCUACGGGAGGCAGCAGUGGGGAAUAUUGGACAAUGGGCGAAAGCCUGAUCCAGCCAUGCCGCGUGUGUGAAGAAGGUCUUCGGAUGUAAAGCACUUUAAGUGGGAGGAAGGG
rnacentral:rRNA from 1 species